rnacentral:ncRNA from 1 species
ACUGAUAAAGGCAAACCAAGGGAAACCUUGGGACGCAAAGCCACCGGUCCCAUCCUUUCUUAAAAAAGGAAGGGAGAGCGGGGCUGCCAAAG